rnacentral:rRNA from 1 species
GUCGAACGCGUUGGCCCAAUUGAUUGAUGGUGCUUGCACCUGAUUGAUUUUGGUCGCCAACGAGUGGCGGACGGGUGAGUAACACGUAGGUAACCUGCCCAGAAGCGGGGGACAACAUUUGGAAACAGAUGCUAAUACCGCAUAACAGCGUUGUUCGCAUGAACAACGCUUAAAAGAUGGCUUCUCGCUAUCACUUCUGGAUGGACCUGCGGUGCAUUAGCUUGUUGGUGGGGUAACGGCCUACCAAGGCGAUGAUGCAUAGCCGAGUUGAGAGACUGAUCGGCCACAAUGGGACUGAGACACGGCCCAUACUCCUACGGGAGGCAGCAGUAGGGAAUCUUCCACAAUGGGCGCAAGCCUGAUGGAGCAACACCGCGUGAGUGAAGAAGGGUUUCGGCUCGUAAAGCUCUGUUGUUAAAGAAGAACACGUAUGAGAGUAACUGUUCAUACGUUGACGGUAUUUAACCAGAAAGUCACGGCUAACUACGUGCCAGCAGCCGCGGUAAUACGUAGGUGGCAAGCGUUAUCCGGAUUUAUUGGGCGUAAAGAGAGUGCAGGCGGUUUUCUAAGUCUGAUGUGAAAGCCUUCGGCUUAACCGGAGAAGUGCAUCGGAAACUGGAUAACUUGAGUGCAGAAGAGGGUAGUGGAACUCCAUGUGUAGCGGUGGAAUGCGUAGAUAUAUGGAAGAACACCAGUGGCGAAGGCGGCUACCUGGUCUGCAACUGACGCUGAGACUCGAAAGCAUGGGUAGCGAACAGGAUUAGAUACCCUGGUAGUCCAUGCCGUAAACGAUGAGUGCUAGGUGUUGGAGGGUUUCCGCCCUUCAGUGCCGGAGCUAACGCAUUAAGCACUCCGCCUGGGGAGUACGACCGCAAGGUUGAAACUCAAAGGAAUUGACGGGGGCCCGCACAAGCGGUGGAGCAUGUGGUUUAAUUCGAAGCUACGCGAAGAACCUUACCAGGUCUUGACAUCUUGCGCCAACCCUAGAGAUAGGGCGUUUCCUUCGGGAACGCAAUGACAGGUGGUGCAUGGUCGUCGUCAGCUCGUGUCGUGAGAUGUUGGGUUAAGUCCCGCAACGAGCGCAACCCUUGUUACUAGUUGCCAGCAUUAAGUUGGGCACUCUAGUGAGACUGCCGGUGACAAACCGGAGGAAGGUGGGGACGACGUCAGAUCAUCAUGCCCCUUAUGACCUGGGCUACACACGUGCUACAAUGGACGGUACAACGAGUCGCGAACUCGCGAGGGCAAGCAAAUCUCUUAAAACCGUUCUCAGUUCGGACUGCAGGCUGCAACUCGCCUGCACGAAGUCGGAAUCGCUAGUAAUCGCGGAUCAGCAUGCCGCGGUGAAUACGUUCCCGGGCCUUGUACACACCGCCCGUCACACCAUGAGAGUUUGUAACACCCAAAGUCGGUGGGG